UUCACGAGAGCAGACGACCGCGUGCAGACAACUGAUCUCGAUUGUAAAAGGCUGGAUCGCGGAUAGGGAGCGCGAGCGUGAAGAAACCGGCCGCCAUCUUACUUUACCCACAACAGUCGCCGCAGCGAUUAUGGCAACUUCUUGCAAUUACGGUCGUACCAACCGUACUGGCAAGGAUACAGGGCCUAAAUUUAUACAGAUUUCCUCAUGCGGCUACCCAGAGGAUCAUCUAUGAAGUGUGAUGCGACAGAGUGUACAGAUUUUCAGGCAUGGAGAGAAGAAAUGCGCAGAAGGCAGCCAAGAGUCACUAAAGGCACACGGGUAAAAAGAUUGAAAGAUGGAGGUUUAAAGUGUUAUUUU